GGCGGACGGGUGAGUAAUGUCUGGGAAACUGCCCGAUGGAGGGGGAUAACUACUGGAAACGGUAGCUAAUACCGCAUAACGUCGCAAGACCAAAGAGGGGGACCUUCGGGCCUCUUGCCAUCGGAUGUGCCCAGAUGGGAUUAGCUUGUUGGUGAGGUAACGGCUCACCAAGGCGACGAUCCC
rnacentral:rRNA from 1 species